CAGUCGCCACGGUAAUACAGAGGGUGCGAGCGUUAAUCGGAAUUACUGGGCGUAAAGCGUGCGCAGGCGGUUAUAUAAGACAGAUGUGAAAUCCCCGGGCUCAACCUGGGAACUGCAUUUGUGACUGUAUAGCUAGAGUACGGCAGAGGGGGAUGGAAUUCCGCGUGUAGCAGUGAAAUGCGUAGAUAUGCGGAGGAACACCGAUGGCGAAGGCAAUCCCCUGGGCCUGUACUGACGCUCAUGCACGAAAGCGUGGGGAGCAAACAGGAUUAGAUACCCGAGUAGUCCCUGUCUCUUAUAA
rnacentral:rRNA from 1 species